UUUGGAGCUCAGUUGUAUGUGGGCCUUGCGUAGGGGAGUGAAACUGAAGAGAAACUACUGCAGAAUUCUCUCAGAAGAAGUGUUUCCAUCACUCCUUGCUGCUGCUGCUCUGUGAUCCAGUAAGUGAUGAAUACGUCCUAAAGGAUAAACUUUCACAUUAAAGAGGAUUUUUCUCCAUAUGAAUUUCAACACAGGCAGAAAAUUAUCUGGAAGAUGCUAUUUAGCUGUUGGCUAUAUAUUAUUAGUAGAAACAUACAGUGACCUUUGCUUUCUUCAGUGACCUGGUUGGUCAGCUCAAAAACUUGUGUGGUAAGGCCCUGAAGCCAGGAGAUGUCUUUCAUUAUCUGUGUAGUGUAUUCUUAGCCUAAUGUGGCUCUUUUUCUCUCUUUUUUUCUUCUGUUUGUUAA